CACACUCAAAGAUUUCAUCAGAAUUAAUGAAGUAUGCAGAAUUUAUCGACCCACAUUUAACGCAUUAUAAUAGAAAUCUUUAAUAAGUCUCUAAUAUUAUCGAUGUUAAUUCUGCCAGAGCUUCACCAUCAAGAACUGUUAUUAAACAAUCAAGUUGUGCACAGUUGAUAUUGUAGAGUUGAAGUAACGUUAAGUGACGGACACGAGUAGCCGGCGAGAUUUUGACUUUUCACCAACUGAAAGCGGAGGUGGUUGAGGAAGAAAGAAUUCACAAAGAAACUGCGCAGACAAUACGAGAUGGAGAUACGUUACUCUAUUGCACAGUGUGGUAGUCUGUGUCGUUGGAUCUUUCUGAUUGUUGAUAUCAUGUUUGAAGAGUGAAUUGGAGAAAAGUAGAACUAGGUGCAAAAUGACAAGAAAAGAAAAUCGUGCAAUUAUUAAUUAUAGUUUCAGACAAUCCAAUAUCUUAUCUUAAGGCAGUAACACUGCACAAAAGUGACAUAUUUUGUGUUAUUGAUUUGUACUUAUCAAUUUAAUACUGUAUAAACCAAACCAGAAUUAUUUGUUCCGCGAGUUUAUCUGUUAUUGUAUUAGUUACUGAAAGAUACCGUUAUAACUGCAGGGAAUAUAGUUGUGGGUUAAUUUAAUUAAACCCCUGGCAAGUUUCUCUUUACUAUAUUGUUUGUUUGUAGAUAUUGUUUAUUAACUAAUAAUACUCCUCAUUUUCAACAGCGAAAUCAUCCCCAAGAAUAAUCUACGUCGUUAAUGGAAAACACAAAACCUCCUUAAUUAGACGCAAAGUUUACGCACUGCCGUCACGAAAGACUGGCAUUCCAGCGAUAAUAGAGUUCGGAUCAUCUUGUGCUGCAGAGUUGAUUGUGUCAUUUGCACCAAUGACCAUUACC